rnacentral:rRNA from 1 species
GAUGAACGCUAGCGGCAGGCCUAAUACAUGCAAGUCGGACGCUCAGUAGCAAUACUGGGAGUGGCGCACGGGUGCGUAACGCGUACACAAUCUACCUCUGAGCGGGGGACACCUCCUGGAAACGGGGAUUAAUACCGCAUAAUAUGCCGAAGUCGCAUGACUUUGGUAUUAAAGCAGCAAUGCACUUAGAGAUGAGUGUGCGUCCCAUUAGGUAGUUGGUGAGGUAACGGCUCACCAAGCCUAUGAUGGGUAGCCGGUCUGAGAGGAUGGUCGGCCACACGGGCACUGAGACACGGGCCCGACUCCUACGGGAGGCAGCAGUAAGGAAUAUUGGUCAAUGGUGGAAACACUGAACCAGCCAUGCCGCGUGGAGGAAUAAGGUCCUACGGAUUGUAAACUCCUUUUGUACGAGGAAGAAAUAGUUAGAUUUAUCUAAUUUGUACGGUACUCGUAGAAUAAGCACCGGCUAACUCCGUGCCA